AAACUUGAGAGUUUGAUCCUGGCUCAGAGUGAACGCUGGCGGCACGCCUAACACAUGCAAGUCGAGCGAUAAGCUAACUUCGGUUAGUGGACAGCGGCGGACGGGUGAGUAUCGCGUGGGAAUUUACCAUAGAGUGGGGGACAACUGCUGGAAACGGCAGCUAAUACCGCAUACGCCCUAAGGGGGAAAGGCUUCGGCCGCUCAAUGAGAAGCCCGCGUACGAUUAGUUUGUUGGUGGGGUAAUGGCCUACCAAGACUACGAUCGUUAGCUGGUCUGAGAGGACGAUCAGCCACACUGGGACUGAGACACGGCCCAGACUCCUACGGGAGGCAGCAGUGGGGAAUA
rnacentral:rRNA from 1 species